AUUGGAAGUAAAAGUCGUAACAAGGUUUCCGUAGGUGAACCUGCGGAAGGAUCAUUCAUAAUAAGUGUUUUAUGGCACUUUUUUAAAUCCAUAUCCACCUUGUGUGCAAUGUCAGGGUUGGUCUCUUGAAAAAGAGAUCAGCCCCAAACAUCAACCCAAUCUUAACUCUUUGUCUGAAAAAUAUUAUGAAUAAAACAAUUCAAAAUACAACUUUCAACAACGGAUCUCUUGGCUCUCGCAUCGAUGAAGAACGCAGCGAAAUGCGAUACGUAAUGUGAAUUGCAGAAUUCAGUGAAUCAUCGAAUCUUUGAACGCAUAUUGCGCUCUUUGGUAUUCCGAAGAGCAUGCUUGUUUGAGUAUCAGUAAACACCUCAAAGCCUUUUUUUGUUAAGAGGCCUUGGACUUGAGCAAUCCCAACACUUUUCCUCCAAGAAAAGUGGCGGGUUGCUUGAAAUGCAGGUGCAGCUGGACAUUCUCCUGAGCUAAAAGCAUAUUCAUUUAGUCUCGUCAAACGGAUUAUUACUUUUGCUGCAGCUAACAUAAAGGGAGUUUGACCAUUUUGGCUGACUGAUGCAGGAUUUUCACAAGAGUCUUCAAAAGCUUUUGUUAAGCUCGAUCUCAAAUCAAG
rnacentral:rRNA from 1 species